CAAAGGGUCAGCCCUCCAUUCUUUACCGAAACUGACUGCCUUUCGGAAUAUUAACAACAAUCGUAGUAAUUCAAACUCAGAGUUUAAAAGACUUCCUCAAGCGCAUAAUGAUAGGACUCCAACCUCGUUCUUCUGACACCAAGGGCUCUUUUCAGCACAUCGGGCCCCCUUAGGGAGUGGAGGACACCACGCCCCCUUAUCUAGGACCAGGUUGAGCAAUGGACACAUUGACCUGCCCGUCACUGAGCAUCAGUUCCACGUGGCCCAGC